UACGAAGGGGGCUAGCGUUGCUCGGAAUUACUGGGCGUAAAGCGCACGUAGGCGGUCUUUUUAAGUCGGGGGUGAAAUCCUGGAGCUCAACUCCAGAACUGCCUCGAUACUGGAAGACUUGAGUCCGGGAGAGGUGAGUGGAACUGCGAGUGUAGAGGUGAAAUUCGUAGAUAUUCGGAAGAACACCAGUGGCGAAGGCGGCUCACUGGACGACUGUUGACGCUGAGGUGCGAAAGCGUGGGGAGCAAACAGGG
rnacentral:rRNA from 1 species